rnacentral:lncRNA from 1 species
UCUCAGGGAAGAAAUGAUCCGAUAGAGAAUGCAAGAGAUUCAAGGGCUGAUUUGGCUUAUGAGUCUAAGAAAUGGAGAGAAGAAUCUGGAUACUCAGAGGCAGGCAAAGAGAAUGCUAAAGACAAAGCUUAUGAUAUGAAAGAGAAGACGAAAGACUAUGCAGAACAAACUAAGGAUAAAGUGAAUGAAGGAGCGAGCAGAGCAGCUGACAAAGCUUACGAGACAAAAGAGAGUGCUAAGGACAAAGCUUAUGAUGUAAAAGAGAAGACGAAAAAUUAUGCUGAGCAAACUAAGGAUAAAGUAAACGAAGGAGCGAGCAAAGCAGCUGAUAAAGCCUACGAGACGAAAGAGAAGGCAAAGGAAAAAGCUUAUGAUGUGAAAGAGAAGACAAAAGAUUAUGCAGAACAAGCAAAGGAUAAAGUGAACGAAGGAGCGAGCAGAGCAGCUGACAAAGCGUAUGAGACGAAAGAGAAAGCCAAGGACAAAGCGUAUGAUGUGAAAGAGAAGACAAAAGAUUAUGCGAAAGAGACUAAGGAUAAGGUGAAUGAAGGUGCAAAUAGAGCCGCAGAUAAAGCGGAAGAGACUAAAGACAGAGCCAAGGA